UUGUGCGUAUGCACCCACAGAGGGUGAAAGGCCCGUUCAGGUUGGUUUCUGAUAUGACAGUCUUGUGUGUUUUUAUUUGUCUUGGAGUCGGAUUGCUUGAGAGUGCAGUCCAAAAUUGGUGGUAAACUCCAUCUAAGGCUAAAUACCUGUGCGAAUCCGAUAGUCAACAAGUACCGUGAGGGAAAGUUGAAAAGUACUCUGAAGAGAGAGUAAAUAGUACGUGAAACUACAUGGAGGUUAAACAGAUAGAGUCAAGCUGCGUGUCAUGUUCAUUGCAUUGAGCGCUUUUGUGUUGAAAGGCAAGCUUGUGGUGCUGGUAUGUUGAUCUAUUCACUUGUGGAUAUUCGAACAAUUGUUGUGUUCGUAGUACCUCAGGCAAGCCAGUGUUCAAUGUUAAUGACUUGACAGGUGCCAUGGUCGAUUGCACUGCCAGUAUGCUUUAACCGACGACUAUUCAGGCUAUUGCCGUAGCUUGUUUAGUUAGUAUGACAGUUGGCUGAGUCGUGUGCUUGCACAUGAGUUGGUCAAAAAUGGCCACGGCCUGUUGGUUAUUGCAUGAACUGUGUGGGCAAUCGGUGAAGUAUGCUCGCAAAAUUCAUGUUAGCUGUUCCAACUUUGUUGGACGGCUUUUUGAAAGAGCGUAUGAA
rnacentral:rRNA from 1 species